rnacentral:lncRNA from 1 species
CUUCUGUCCCUCCCCUACGGCGUUCCGGGAGGGCGGGGCCAGCGCCGCGAGCUGCGGUCGUGUGGUCUCGGUUCUGGCUGCGUGUGGUCCAGGGUAUAAGGAAAGACCCUGGCUGUCUGCGGUGUGGACCCCUCACACAUUGAGCGCUGACUUUGCCAGGCGUUACAUAGAAGGAGACCAUAGCUCCGUGUGUUACUGGAUCGGGUGCUGUAGGCCCCAGAUGUUAUUAGUAUCAUCAUCAUCAUCAUCAUCAUCACCAUCAUCAUUUGGAAUCAGGCAUAAUAGACAGUAGACUCAUGUUUUGACACUUCAAAGAUUGUUUUGUGCCCUGGCAUCUCCAUGUGCAGCAGAGACCACACUUUGAGAAGCAGUCUUCAAGCCAAUAUUGUUUUUCACGUCUUUAAGCUGCCUAUGCCAAAUUACAACAUCAUAAAAACAUCUGCUCUUGAGAGAAGACCUCUUCCCACUGGACAUCUGGAGUCUCCCUGUUUUCUUCCUAGCAUAGCCAACCAUUGACAGUUCUGAAAGCACAUCUGUGAGCACAGUAUCCUCAUUUCCAAAUCACAGAUGCCCAGAAGAGUUGUGAGUCAGUUCUGGUUGCUCCUGUAUAGAAGCAUGGAAAGAGAAUUAGAAUCAGUAGUCUCUAGCUGGAAUUACCAGGCCAUAGGUUUCUGAAGGAGCUGUUGAUCACUGUAGACUUUAUAGUAGCAUAUGAAGCAGCCUGUUUUCACUGGCCAUGUUCCUGCUGGGAGAUUUGCAGGCUUAAAUGCAUUCCUGACAUACAGCCCUACCACAUUAGCAUGAGUUAUUUAAAACACUGUGUUUAAUGUGGUAAGCUUAAUAGACUGAUCUAAUAAUCUAAGAUGGGAAAACAUCAUUUAGUAAUAUAAUAUCAAACAGAAC